rnacentral:lncRNA from 1 species
AAUAGUUUUGUAGAUUUCUAGAUUAAUUAAUAUAGAAUAUUGUGGAAAUUUUGACAAAAAUUCUAGAAAAUAACAAAAGGAAAAAUAUUUCAAAAAUGACAAAAGUGACUUAUUUAUAUUUCCAAAGGAAAAAUUCUAGCAAGUUUCUAGUAAAUACUUGUUUUUAAUAUUUACAAUGCUUGAUUUGCGACUUGUGAGAUUUGGAAUCCCUAAAUCAAUUGAAAUUAACAAUACAUUUCCCAAAUUAGAUUAUUUCUAAUAAUAAUGCCUUUAAAAAUUGUGUUUCCAAUGUCUCUCAUUGCGAUCGAUUUUAAUAUAUUUUUUUCAAUUUGCAGAAUUGCAACCCGAGUAACUCGCGAACUUCGAGCUCGAACCUGGACAAUUCUUUAACGAACCGAGCCCGAGUUUAGCUAAACCAGACUCGACGAGUUCAAGCCCAAAUCUGGACAAUUCCUUAAUGAACCAAACCUGAGCCCAGUUGUAUAUGCAAUUAAGAGCUCAGCUCGGUUCGUUUAAAACUCUAGUCGGUUAUAUAUGCUUAAUUGAAAUCAUAUUACUUAAUACUAAUAUGUCCAAUUAAUAUGUUAAAUUAUUU